GGCAGUUCUCAGGUGAUGCACUAGAAUUGAGCUCCUUCCUCUCUGGUUCCAGGUGUGUCACCCGAGAACUGCA
rfam:Myotis davidii contig38291, whole genome shotgun sequence.